UACGUAGGUCCCGAGCGUUGUCCGGAUUUAUUGGGCGUAAAGCGAGCGCAGGUGGUUUAUUAAGUCUGGUGUAAAAGGCAGUGGCUCAACCAUUGUAUGCAUUGGAAACUGGUAGACUUGAGUGCAGGAGAGGAGAGUGGAAUUCCAUGUAUAGCGGUGAAAUGCGUAGAUAUAUGGAGGAACACCGGUGGCGAAAGCGGCUCUCUGGCCUGUAACUGACACUGAGGCUCGAAAGCGUGGGUAUCGAACAGG
rnacentral:rRNA from 1 species